rnacentral:miRNA from 14 species
CACCGAUUUUUUCUGCGGUGAU